rnacentral:rRNA from 1 species
CCAUGCAGUCGAACGAUGAAGCCUUUCGGGGUGGAUUAGUGGCGAACGGGUGAGUAACACGUGGGCAAUCUGCCCUUCACUCUGGGACAAGCCCUGGAAACGGGGUCUAAUACCGGAUAACACUCUGUCCUGCAUGGGACGGGGUUAAAAGCUCCGGCGGUGAAGGAUGAGCCCGCGGCCUAUCAGCUUGUUGGUGGGGUAAUGGCCUACCAAGGCGACGACGGGUAGCCGGCCUGAGAGGGCGACCGGCCACACUGGGACUGAGACACGGCCCAGACUCCUACGGGAGGCAGCAGUGGGGAAUAUUGCACAAUGGGCGAAAGCCUGAUGCAGCGACGCCGCGUGAGGGAUGACGGCCUUCGGGUUGUAAACCUCUUUCAGCAGGGAAGAAGCGAAAGUGACGGUACCUGCAGAAGAAGCGCCGGCUAACUACGUGCCAGCAGCCGCGGUAAUACGUAGGGCGCAAGCGUUGUCCGGAAUUAUUGGGCGUAAAGAGCUCGUAGGCGGCUUGUCACGUCGGAUGUGAAAGCCCGGGGCUUAACCCCGGGUCUGCAUUCGAUACGGGCUAGCUAGAGUGUGGUAGGGGAGAUCGGAAUUCCUGGUGUAGCGGUGAAAUGCGCAGAUAUCAGGAGGAACACCGGUGGCGAAGGCGGAUCUCUGGGCCAUUACUGACGCUGAGGAGCGAAAGCGUGGGGAGCGAACAG